rnacentral:siRNA from 1 species
UCUGGAAAAGUUCAAACCCAAU